UACGGAGGAUCCAAGCGUUAUCCGGAUUUAUUGGGUUUAAAGGGUGCGUAGGCGGACCCUUAAGUCAGUGGUGAAAGUUUGCAGCUCAACUGUAAAAUUGCCAUUGAAACUGAGGGUCUUGAGUGUAAAUGAGGUAGGCGGAAUGUGUUGUGUAGCGGUGAAAUGCUUAGAUAUAACACAGAACACCAAUUGCGAAGGCAGCUUACUGGGAUAACAACUGACGCUGAGGCACGAAAGCGUGGGGAUCAAACAGG
rnacentral:rRNA from 1 species